AGUACUGCAGUGUGCGGCGCAUGGCUGCGAGGGCCUGCCGAGGGGCGGGCGCGAGUCGGAAAGACACCGACCAGGGAAUGGGCGACGAGGCUUGCCUUAAUUCGGAGGAAACCCAGGACUUGAGAGAGCCAUACAAUUUGAAAGACGAAGCACCGUGAAAUGCAGAAAGUUGUGGUUCGGAUAGCUCAGCUGAUUAAUUUCAUGUUGCCACAGUUUGUCAACGGAGUUUCGCUCUUGUUGCCUAGGCUGGAGUGCAAUGGCGUGAUCUCGGCUCACCGCAACCUCUACCUCCCGGGUUGAAGCGAUUCUCCUGCUUCAGCCUCCCGAGUAGCUGGGAUUACAGGCAUGUGCCACCACACCUGGCUAAUUUUGUAUUUUUAGUAGAGACAGGGUUUCUCCAUGUUGGUCGGGCUGGUCUCGACCUCCCGACAUCACGUGAUCUGCCCGCCUCAGCAUCCGAAAGUGCUGGGAUUACAGAUGUGACCUAUCGUGCCCAGCCGCUAAACCUCAUCUUUAAAAAAGAAGAACAAAAUAGAACAUGGACAAGAUGGCUGGGGUCCUGUGGAGUUCUAGUAAUCUUCUUACGAUAAUAAAGCAACCUUAUGCCAUAUGAUAUGCUAAGGAUGGAGGAAGAUAGAGUCUAGGUGCCUGAUGACAACAUGGAGCUGUCAAGCCCUGCAUUGCCUCCCCCUGGACGUCUCAUUAUGGGAGAAAAUGAAGCAAUUUGUUUAAGCCACACUGAUCUUUUUUCCUAUUUUUCUUUUUCUUUUGUUGAGUGUGUGUUUGUGUCUGUUAUUUACAGCUGAUUGUAAGUCAUAACUGAUGUGGUAGUGGGACUGUGUAAGUUUUGUCUUCUGAUGUUUUUCUUUUUUUUUUUCUUCUUCAGUGAAACAGGGAUGGGGAGAUCAUUAGCUAAAUGUAAGGAUUGGGGAAGGAGUGUGGGAGGUUUGUGGAGAGAGAAUGUGUGAAAUGUGGGAAGUUUGUGGAGAGAGAAUUUGUGAAAUAGUUAUCUCUGAAUGGUAGAGUAAAUUAAGUAGGGAGAGGUAGUAGGUCAUUCAGACAUCUGUGGUUGUAAAUAUAAAAUGAGAUCAGUCAUCUGGGUUGUAUUUUUCCCUAGUCAGGUUUACCUGCUCAGGAGAAGGUAUAAACCUGAUAGUGAAUUGGGUUUAACCAGGAUUUAUAUUUUGCUAAAGCCAUUGUGUCACCAUUUGUGAAAUAGAAGAAGAUACUGUAGAGUCACUAAGAAGACAGUUGACUGAAUGGAUUUAUAAAAACAUGUAGCCGGGCACAGUGGCUCAUGCCUGUAAUCCCAGCACUUUGGGAGGCCGAGGCGGGCAGAUCACGAGGUGAGGAGAUCGAGACCAUCUUGGCUAACACGGUGAAACCCCCUCUCUACUAAAGAAAAAAAAAAAAAUUAGCCGGGCGUGGUGGCAGGCGCCUGUAGUCCCAGCUACUCAGAAGGCUGAGGCAGGAGAAUGAUGUGAACCCAGGAGGUGGAGCUUGCAGUGAGCCAAGAUCACGCCACUGCACUACAGCCUGGGUGACAGAGCGAGACUCUGUCUCAAAAAUAAAUAAAUAAAUAAAUAAAAUAAAUAAAAAUAUAUACAAACAUGUAAUUGCUGGCCAGGCAUGGUGGCUCACGCCUGUAAUCCUAGCACUUUGGGAGACUGAGGCGGUGGAUUGCCUGAGCUCAGGAGUUUGAGACCAGCCUGGGCAACACGGUGAAACCCCAUCUCUACUGAAAUACAAAAAAUUAGCCAGGCGUAGUGGCAUGUGCCUUUAGUCCCAGCUACUUGGGAGGCUGAGGCAGGAGAAUUGCUUGAACCUGGGAGGUGGAGGUUGCAGUGAGCCAAGAUCGUGCCACUGCAUUCCAGCCUGGGCAACAGAGUAAGACUCUGUCUCAAAAAAAGAAACAAACAAACAAAAAACAUGUAAUUAAUAAAAGCAGUAGACUUGAAAGCAAAACUUUACACAUAUUUUUUGAAUAGGUAAAGUUCCCAUGGUUCAAACAUUGAAGAGGUAAAAAGAUACACAGACAUACCUUACUUUAUUGCACUUCACUUUACUGAACUUGUUUUGUUUUGUUUUGUUUUUCUUUUGAGACAGUUUCGCUCUUGUUGCCCAGGCUGGAGUACAGUCGUGUGAUCUCGGCUCACUGCAACCUCUGCCUCCUGGGUUCAAUCUCUUCUCCUGCCUCAGCCUCCCAAGUAGCUGGGACUACAGGCACUUGCCACCACGCCCGGCUAAUUUUUGUAUUUUUGGUAGAGACAGUGUUUCACCACGUUGGCCAGGCUGGUCUCGAACUUCUGACCUCAAGUGAUCGGCCUGCCUCGGCCUCCCAAAGUGCUGGGAUUACAGGCUUAAGCCACCGUGCCCGGCCCUUUUUAUUUUUUUUGAGACAGAGUUUCGCUCUUGUUGCCCAGGCUGGAGUGCAAUGACGCAAUCUUGGCUCACCGCAACCUCCGCCUCCCUGGUUCAAGGAUUAUCCUGCCUCAGCCUCCCAAGUAGCUGGGAUUACAGGUGUGAGCCACUGUGUCUGGCCCACUUUACUGAACUUCACAGAUGAUGAGAGUUUUCUCUUUCUUUUUUUUUUUUAAAACGUAUUGAAGGUUUAUGGCAACCCUGCAUCAAGCAAGUCUGUUAGCACCAUUUUUCCAACAGCAUUUGCUCACUUCAUGUCUCUGUGUCACAUUUUGGUAAUUUUCAUAAUAUAUAAAAAUUUUUCAUUACAGGCUGGGUGUAGUGGCUCACACCUGUAAUCCUAGCACUUUGGGAGGCCAAGGCAGGCGGAUCUCCUGAAGUCAGGAGCUCAAGACCAGCCUAGCCAACAUGGCGAAACCCCAUCUCUACCAAAAAUACAAAAUUAGCUGGGUGUGGUGACACACGCCUGUAAUCCCAGCUACUUGGGAGUCUGAGGCAGGAGAAUCGCUUGAACCCAGAAGGCGGAGGUUGUGGUGAGCCGAGAUCGUGCCAUUGCACUCCAGCCUGGGAGACAAAGCGACAUCUCAAAAAAAAAAAAAAAAAAAAGCUUUUUUAUUAUUAUUGUAUUUGUUAUGGUGAUCUGUGAUUAGUAAUCUUUGAUGUUACUAUUGUAAUGGUUUUGGAGUGCCACAAACAUAAGAUCACGUGACAGUGACCUUAAUAUAUAAAUGUGUGUGUUGUGAUUGUUCUACUGACCAGCCAUUUCCUGUCUCCCUCUUCUUAUGCCUCCCUGUUAAAUUAGACACAACAACAUUGAAAUCAGACCAAUUAAUAACCCUACAGUGGUCUCUGAGAGAGGCUAACAGCUAAUCCUCUUGUGCUAAACAGCCAAAUUGUGAAUGCAAAGGAAAAGUUCUCAAAGGAAAUUAAAAGUGCUACUCCAGUGAACACAUGAAUGAUAAGAAAGUGAAACAGUCCGGGCGUGGUGGGUCACGCCUGUAAUCCCAGCACUUUGGGAGGCUGAGGUGGGUGGAUCACCUGAGGUCAGGAGCUCAAGACCAGCCUAGCCAACAUAGUGAAACCCUGUCUCUACUAAAAAUACAAAAAUUAGCUGAGUGUGGUGGUGCACACUUGUAAUCCCAGACACUCGGGAAGCUAAGGCAAGAGAAUCACUUGAACCCCAGAGGUGAACAUUGCAGUGAGCUGAGAUUGUGCCACUGCACUCCAGCCUGGGUAACAGAGAGAGACUCUGUCUCAAAAAAAAAAAAAAAAAAAAAGUGAAACAGCCUUAUUGAUGCUGAUAGGGAGAAAGUUUUAGUAGUCUGGAUAGAAGAUCAAACCAGCCACAACAUUCUCUUAAGCCAAAGCCUAAUCCAGAGCAGGACCUCAGUUAUCUUCAAUUCUGAGAAGGCUGAGAGAGGUGAGGAAACUACAGAAGAAAAGUUUGAAGCUAGCAGAGGUUGGCUCGUGAAGUUUAAGGAAAGAAGCUGUCUCCAUAACAUAAAAGUGCAAAGCGAAGCAAUAAGUGCUGAUGUAGAAGCUGCAGCAAGUGAUCCAGAAGAUCUAGCUAAGAUCAUUGAUGAAGAUGGCUAUACUAAACAACACAUUUUUGGCCAGGCACUGUGCCUCAUGUCUAAUCCCAGCACUUUGGGAGGCUGAGGUGAGAGCAUUGCUUGAGGCCAGCCUGAGCAACAUAGCAAGGCAAUUUUUUAAUCUCUACAAAAAUAAAAAAAUUAGCCAGGUGUGAUGGCAUGCUCCUGUAGUCCUAGCUACCUGGCAGGCUGAGGUGAGUGGCUUCCUGAGCCCAGGGUUUUGAGGCUGCAGUGAGCUAUGAUCAUGCUACUGCAUUCCAGCCUGGGCAACAGAACAAGACCCUGUCUCCAAAAGAAAGCAAAUCAACAAAAAAUGAGCAAUAAAAAAAGAUUUUCGAUGUAGACAAAACAACCUCACAUUGAAAGAAGAUGUCAUCUGUGACUUUCAUAGCUGGAAGGGACAAGUCAGUGCCUACCUUCAAAGAACAGCCUGAAUCUGUCAGGGGCUAAUGCAGCAGGUGAUUUUAAGUUGAAGCCAAUGCUCGUUUACCAUUCCAAAAAUCCCAGGGCCCUAAAGUAUCAUGGUAAGUCUACUCUGCCCAUGCUCUAUAAAUGGAAUAACGACACCUGGAUGACAGCAUACCUAUUUACAACAUUGUUUACUGAGUAUUUUCAGCCUGUUGUUGAGAUGUACUUUUCAGAAAUAAAGAUUCUUUCAAAAUGUUACUGCUCAUUGACAAUGCACCUGGUCACCCAGGAGUUCUGAUGACAUGUACGGGGAGGGAGAUUAAUGUUACUUUCGUGACUGCUAACAGCAUCCAUUCUGUAGCCCGUGGAUCUAAGAGUCAUUUUUACUUUUUUUUUUUUUUUUUUUUUUUUUGAGACAGAGUCUUGCUCUGCCUUCCAGGCUGGAGUGCAAUGGUGCGAUCUCGGCUCAUUGCAACCUCCGUCUCCCGGGUUCAAGCAAUUCUUCUGCCUCAGCCUCCCAAGUAGCUGGGAUUACAGGCACUGGCUAAUUUUUUGUAUUUUUAGCAGAGAUGGGGUUUCGCUAUGUUGGCCAGCCUGGUCUCAAACUCCUGACCUUAGGUGAUCCACCCGCCUCGGCCUCCCAAAGUGCUGGGAUUACAGGCGUGAGCCACCACACUCACAUGGUGGUUUCUUGAGAUGGAAUGUACUCGGUGAAGAUGCUUGAACAUUAUUGAAAUGACAACAAAGGAUUUUAAAUAUUUCAUAAACUUAGUUGAUAAAGCAACAACAGGGUUUGAGAGGAUUGACUCCAAUUUUGAAAGAAGUUCUACUGUGGGUAAAAUGCUAUCAAACAGCAUCACAUGCUACAGAGAAAUCUUUCAUGAAAGGAAGUCAAUCACUGCAGCAGACAUCACUGUUGUCUUUAAGAAACUGCAGGCCAGGUGCAGUGGCUCACGCCUGUAAUCCUAGCACUUUGGGAGGCCAAGGCGGGUGGAUCAUCUGAGGUCAGGAGUUCGAGACCAGCCUGGCCAACAUGGUGAAACCCUGUGUCUACUAAAUACAAAAAAUUAGCCAGGUGUGGUAGCACAUGCCUGUAAUCCCAGCUACUUGGGAGGCUGAGGCAGAAGAAUCGCUUGAACCUGGGAGGCAGAGGCUGCAGUGAGCUGAGAUUGCACCAUUGCACUCUAGCCUGGGCAACAAGAGUGAAAUUCCAUCUCAAAAAAAAAAAAAAGAAAGAAAGAAAAGAAAAGAAGUUGUGGCCGGGUACAGUGGCUUACACCUGUAAUCCCAGCACUUUCAGCUACUUGGGAGGCUGAGGCAGGAGAAUCGCUUGAACCUGGGAGGCGGAGAUUGCAGUGAGCGGAGAUCACACCAUUACACUCCAGCCUGGGCGACAAGAGCGAGACUCUAUUGCAAAAAAAAAAGAAAAAGAAAAAAGAAAUUGCUCCAGCCACCUUAACCUUCAGCAAUCACUACCCUGAUCAGUCAGCAGCCAUUAACAUCAAGGCAAUAUCCUCCACCAGCAAAAAGAUUAUAACUAGUUGAAGGCUCAGAUGAUCAUUAGCAUUUUUCAGCAAUGAAGUUUUUUUUGUUGUUUGUUUGUUUUGUUGUUUGUCUUGCUUUGUCAUCCAGGCUGGAGUGUAGUGGGCAACAGGGCAAGACUCCAUCCCAAAAAAAAAGAUGUGUCUAGUGUGAAUAAGAAUUUGAAUAUUUUACUUUAUUAGAUUGUAAUUAAUUUACAAUUAAAUAAUACAAAUAUAUACAAAAUUAGCCGGGUAUGGUGGUACAUGCCUGUAGUCCCAGCUACUUGGGAGGCUGAGGUGGGGGAACCACUUGAACCCAGGAGGUGGAGGUUGCAGUGAGCCGAGAUCAUGUCGCUGCACUCCAGCCUGGCAACAGAGUGAGACUCCAUCUCAAAAAAAAAAAAAAAAAAUUAGCCACAUGUAUAUAGUAACUACCAUGUUGCACAGAUACUCAGGUCUUCUAUACAAAGAAGAAAGGAAGGCUCAGUUGUCCUUGGAUAAAAUGAGAACUGGUGAAAAGGCACUUUGAAAGUAAUGAAAACAGCUGGACACAGUGGCUCAUGCCUGUAAUCCCAGCACUUUGGGAAGCUGAGGCAGGAGGAUCACUUGAGCCCAUGAGGUCAAGUCUGCAGUGAGCCAAGAUCGGGUCACUGUACCCCAACCUGGGUGUCAGAGCGAGACCUUGUCUCAAAAAAAAAAAAAAAGUAAUGAAGACAAAGUGUCAAUAAUAACUAAAGAUGAUUAAGGAGAAGGGUUUUUUGUUUGUUUUUUGAGCCAGAGUCUCGCUCUGUCACCCAGGCUGUAGUGCAAUGGUGAGAUCUUGGCUCACUGCAACCUCCACCUCCCGGGUUCAAGCGAUUUUCCUGCCUCAGCCUUCCAUGUUGCCAGGACUACAGGCAUGCACCACCAUGCCUGGCUAAUUUUUGUAUUUUUUAGUAGAGAUGGGGUUUCGCCACGUUGGCCAGGCUGGUCUCAAACUCCUGAUCUCAGGUGAUCCAGCUGCCUCAGCCUCCCAAAGUGCUGGGAUUAUAGGCAUGAGCCACUGCACCUGGCCCUCUCUACUUUUUUAUAUUUAAUACUUUUCUUCCCCCUCUAUCCCUCCCUUCCUGCCAUCCUUUCUUUCUUUUUGUUUCUUUCCUUUCUCUCCCCACCACCCACCCCACUCUCUCUCUCUCUUUCUUCUCUUUUAAUACAGGGUCUCCCUCUGUCCCCCAGGCUAGAGUGCAGUGGUGUGACCAUAGCUCACUGUAGCCUCGAUCUCCUGCACUCAAGCGAUCCUCCUGAGCAGCUGGGGCUACAAAUGUGCAUCACCAUGCCCUAAUUACUAUUAUUAUUGUUAUUUUUGUAGAGCUAGGGGUCUUGCUGUGUUGUCCAGGCUGGUCACAAAUUCCUGGCCUCAGGCUACUGCCUUGGUCUCCCACGGUGCUGGAAUUACAGGCAUAAGGCAUUGUGCCUGGCCAAGAGUUUUUUAAAAUCUAUUUGCAUUACUUUUAUAAUUAGAAUUAAUGUUUAAAAAGUCAAUCUAAAGUAAAAUGGUGAAUUAAGACUCAUAUAAGAUAUAGGAGUAUUCAUUUUUGCCCUUUGCUCACUGGUUUUUAUUUUUAAACACCUUUAUGGAGAUUUAAUUCAGAUUCCGUAAAAUUUACCCUUUUAGGCUGGACGCGAUGGCUCACACCUGUAAUCCCAGCACUUUGGGAAGCCGAGGUGGGCAGAUCACAAGGUCAGGAGUUUGAAACCAGCCUGGCCAACAUGGUGAAACCCCAUCUCUACUAAAAAUACAAAAAUUAGCUGGGUUUGGUGGCACAUACCUGUAAUCCCAGCUACUCAGGAGGUUGAGGCAGGAGAAUUGCUUGAACCCAGGAGACAGAGGUUGCAGUGAGCCGCGAUUGCACCACUGUACUCCAGCCUGAGUGACAGAGCAAGACUUCACCUCGGGAAAGAAAAAGAAAAUUUACACCUUUAAAGUGUACAGUUCAGUGGUUUUUUUUUUUUUUUUUUUAAUUUUUUUCUGUAACCCAGGACAGUGCCAAAGUUCAGUGGUUUUUUUGUUUUUUCUUUGUUUGUUUAUUUGAGACAGAAACUCGCUCUUGUUGCCCAGGCUGGAGUGCAAUGGCGCAGUCUUGGCUCACAGCAACCUCCACCUCCCGGAUUCAAGAGAAUCUCCUGCCUCAGCCUCCAAGUAGCUGGGAUUACAGGCAUGUGCCACCAUGCCCAGCUAAUUUUUGUAUUUUUAGUAGAGAUGGGGUUUCACCAUGUUGGCCAGGCUGGUCUCAAACUCUUGACCUCACGUAAUCCUCCCACCUCGGCCUCCCAAAGUGCUGGGUUUACAAGCGUGAGCCACCGUGCCCAGCCAAGUUCGUGAUUUUUAACACAUUUAUAGAGUUGUGCUACCAUCAUCACACUCUAAUUCCAGAACAUUUUUUAUCAUCCCUAAAGAAACUCAUUGCCCAGGCUGGAGUGCAAUGGAGUGAUCUUGGCUUAUUGCAACCUCUGCUUCCCAGUUCAAGCGAUUAUCAUACCUCAGCCUCCUGAGUAGUUGGGACUAUAGAUGCGUGCCACCAUGCCCAGCUAAUUUUUGUAUUUUUAGUAGAGAUGGCGUUUCCGCAUGUUGGCCAGGCUGGUCUCGAACUCCUGGCCUCAAGUUAUCUGCCCGCCUCAGCCUCCCAAAGUGCUGGGAUUACAGGUGUGAGCCAUCAUGCCCAACCCUGAGAUGGCUUCUGAGGGGCUUGAUAUGGAGGGAGAGGGCCUAAGUAGCUUCAGAAUGAAAAGAACAAGCCAGGAUUAGAGGGUUAGAACUUUCAGCCCCAUCCCCCAAGACCUCAGGGAAGGGAGUGGUGACUGGAGAUUGAGUUUGAUCACCAAAAGGUCAAGCCUUAAUUAUGCUUAUGUGGUGAAAACUCCGGCCAGGCACGGUGGCUCACGCCUGUAGUCCCAGCACUUUGGGAGGCCAAGACAACGGAUCACCUGAGGUCAGGAGUUCGAGACCAGCCUGGCCAACGUGGUGAAACCCCAUCUCUACUAAAAAUACAAAAAUUAGCCGGGUGUGGUGGCAGGCGCCUGUAAUCCCAGCUAGUUGGGAGGCUGAGGCAGGAGAAUCGCUUGAACCCGGGAAGCAGAGGUUGCAGUGAGCUGAGAUCUUGUCCCCCAGACUGGGGGACAAGAGUGAGACUUCGCUCAAAAAAAAAGAGAAAAGAAAACUCCAUGAAACCCCCUAAAUAAUAGGGUAUGGAAAGCUUCAUAGUUGGUGAAAAAAUUGGUGUUAGGAGGGUGCCAACCAGGAGAAGGCAUGGAAACUCUAUAUCUUCCUCCACCUUCUACCCCCACCCAGGGCAUACUUUUCUCGGUGCAUCUCUUCCACUUAGCUGUUCCUGAGUUGUAUCCUUUACGAUGCAUUGCUAAAUGUAAGUAAAGUGUUUUCCUAUAUUCUGUGAAUUAUUCUAACGAAUUAUUAAACCUGAGGGAGAUUGGCGGGUAUUCUCGAAUUUACAACUGUUCGGUGGCAAACCUGGCACUUAAAAUGGGAGCAAUUUUAGGGAACUGAGCCAAGAGAAUUGAAUUUAAUUGUUUGACACCCAAUUCCUGUUAGAGAAUUGGAGAAUUGGUGUUUGGUGUCAGAAAAAAACCUUACAGAAUAGUUAUGUAUGGUAUAGUACAACCUUGACAUAAUUAACUUCAUCUUAGAAAAAGACUCCAUUUUAUAUUUAUUUAUUUAUUUUUAUUUUUAUUUAUUUAUAUUUUUUGAGACAGAGUCUCGCUCUGUCGCCCAGGCUGAAGUGCAAUGGCGUGAUCUCAGCUCACUGCAACCUCCACCUCUCAGGUUCAAGCAGUUCUCCUGCCUUAGCCUCUUGAGUAGCUGGGAUUACAGCAUGCCACCAUGCCUGGCUAAUUUUUGUAUUUUUAGUAGAGAUGGGGUUUCACCAUGUUGAUCAGGCGGUUUCAAACUCCUGACCUUGUGAUCUGCCCGCCUGGACCUCCCAAGGUCCUGGGAUUACAGGCAUGAGCCACUGUACCUGGCCAUUUAUUUUUAUUUAUUUUUUUGAGAUGGAGUUUCACUCUUGUCACCCAGGCUGGAGUGCAAUAGUGUGAUCUUGGCUCACUGCAAUCUCCACCUCCUGGGUUCAAGCAAUUCUCCUGUCUUAGCCUGUUGAGUAGCUGGGAUUACAGCGCACCACCAUGCCUGGCUAAUUUUUGUAUUUUUAGUAGAGAUGGGGUUUCACCAUGUUGGUCAGGCUGGUCUCAAACUGCUGACCUCGUGAUCUGCCUACCUCGGCCUCCCAAAGGCCUGGGAUUACAGGCGUGAGCCACUGCACCUGGCCAUUUUUUUUUUUUUUUUUUUUUUUUUGAGACAGAGUUUCACUCUUGUCACCCAGGCUGGAGUGCAAUGGCGCGAUCUCGGCUCUCUGCAACCUCCGCCUCCCGGGUUCAAGCAAUUCUCCUGCCUCAGCCUCCUGAGUAGCUGGGAUUAUAGGUGCCCGCCACGACGGCUGGCUAAUUUUUUUUUUUUUUUUUUGUAUUUUUAGUAGAGAUGGGGUUUCACCAUGUUGGCCUGGCUGGUCUCAAACUCCUGACCUCAGGUGAUCCACCUGCCUCAGCCUCCCAAAAUGCUGGGAUUAUAGGCAUGAGCCACCGCGCCCAGUCUCCAUUUUAUAUUUCAUAGGGAACUUUGUCAACAAGUAUAAGAUGCUUUGCUUAAUAAACAAAGUUUUUUAAAAGAUGCAUCCAACCAGUUAAGGACACAAGCAUGCUCUUCCACUAUCAGUUCUCACUAGAGGAUUCUGUGACUAUAAAAGAUGAGGCCAGCCGGGCGCGGUGGCUCACGCCUGUAAUCCCAGCACUUUGGGAGGCCAAGGCGGGCGGAUCACCUGAGGUCAGUAGUUUGAGACCAGCCUGGCCAACAUGGUGAAACCCUGUCUCUACUAAAAAUACAAAAAAUUAGGCGGGCGUGGUGGCAAGUGCCUGUAAUCCCAGCUACUCGGGAAGCUGAGGCAGGAGAAUCGCUUGAACCAGGGAGGCAGAGGUUGCAGUGAGCUGAGAUUGCACCACUGCACUCCAGCCUGGCAACAGAGCGAGACUCCGUCUCAAAAAAAAAAAAAAAAAAUGAGGCCAGCUGGGUGCGGUGGCUCACGCCUGUAAUCCCAGCACUUUGGGAGGCCAAGGCGGGCGGACCACCUGAGGUUAGGAGUUCAAGACCAGCCUGGCCAACAUGGUGAAACCCUGUCUCUACUCAAAAUCCAAAAAAUUAGCCAGGCGUGGUGGCGGGCGCCAGUAAUCCCAGCAACUUGGGAGGCUGAGGCAGAAGAAUCGCUUGAACCCGGGAGGCAGAGGUUGCAGUGAGCCGAGAUUGCGCCAUUGCACUCCAACCUGGGCAACAAGAGCAAAACUCCGUCUCAAAAAAAAAAGAUGAGGCCUUCAGCAGCUCAAAAUGGUCAUCUUAACUGACACCGUCUUGCAGUCAGUCACUCGUGAUAAGAACUUGCCAUCUGCCUCCGAAGGCUCUGCCACAUCAAAGACUCUUCCUCGCAAGACUGGCAGACCAACUGGCCCAAAACAGAACUCCUUUUCUUCUUUGUUCUGCCUGGACUGGUUCUUUAACCCUUUCUCCUAUCUCUUUCUCCUCUUGAUGUUAAAUGUUACUUUGUCAUGGAAUGUUUAACUUGUAACAUUUAUAUAUUGAUUAAUUAUACUAUUAUGUAUGGUUUACAAUAUUGACUGGCUUGCGUGCCCACAGCUCUGACUACUGAGUGAACAGGAAGUACUGUUAGCUGUGGAAGGUAUACAGAUCAUCAGCAGUAAAUCCAUACAGGCCUGAAGCAACCUCAAUUCUUGCCUCCUCAGAAGAAAGAAUUCCACUGAGGGGCAUAAGGCAGAAGGAGAAACCGAGGCAAGUUUUAAAGCAGGAGUAAAAGUUUAUUAAAAAGCUUUACACCAGGAACAAAAGGAAGGAAAGAACACUUGGAAGAGACCCAAGUGGGCAACUUGAAGGAGAAGUGCCCCAUUUCACCUUGGACCUAGGAUUAUUUAUUUAUUUAUUUAAUGAGACAGGGUCUCACUCUGUCGCUCAGACUGGACUGCAGUGGAGUGAUCUCAGCUCACUGCAACCUCUGCCUCCCAGGCUCCAGCGAUUCUCCUGCCUCAGCGUCGCGAGUAGCUGGGAUUACAGGGCGCACACUACUACCACCCAGCUAAUUUUUGUAUUUUUAUUUUAUUUAUUUAUUUAUUUUUGAGACAGAGUCUCGCUCUGUUGCCCAGGCUGGAGUGCAAUGGCACGAUCUUGGCUCACUGCAAGCUCUGCCUCUGGGGUUCAUGCCAUUCUCCUGCCUCAGCCUCCCAAGUAGCUGGGAGUACAGGCACCCGCCACCACCCUUGGCUAAUUUUUUUUUGUAUUUUUAGUAGAGAUGAGGUUUCACCGUGUUAGCCAGGAUGGUCUUGAUCUCCUGACCUCAUGAUCCGCCUGCCUCGGCCUUGCAAAGUGCUGGGAUUACAGGUGUGAGCCACUGUGCUCUGGCUCAUUUUUGUAUUUUUUUUUUUUUGAGAUGGAGUCUCGCUCUGUUGCCCAGGCUGGAGUGCAGUGGCGCGAUCUUGGCUCACUGCAAGCUCCGUCUCCCGGGUUCACACCAUUCUCCUGCCUCAGCCUCCUGAGUAGCUGGGACUACAGGCACCUGCCACCACGCCUGGCUAAUUUUUUGUAUUUUUAGUAGAGACCGGGUUUCACCAUGUUAACCAGGAUGGUCUCCAUCUCCUGACCUCGUGAUCCGCCCACCUCAGCCUCCCAAAGUGUUAGGAUUACAGGCGUGAGCCACCGUGCCCAGCCCUAAUUUUUGUAUUUUUAAUAGAGACAGGGCUUCACCAUAUUGGCCGGGCUGGUCUUGAACUCCUGACCUCAAAUGAUCCACCCUCCUUGGCCUCCCAAAGUGCUGGGAUUAUAGGCAUGAGCCACUGGGCCCGGUCCAGACCUUGGAUUUCAUAUGCUGGUCUACUUCUAGUAUUUUGUGCCCCUUUCCCUUCAUUCUUGCCUUAGGGUGAGCUGCCCACAUGCACAGUGGCCUACUAACGCCUGGCAGGUGAGCAUGCGCAGUGUGUUUACUGGAGUUGUAAACAUAUUCACCUGAGGUUUUCUUCCCUUUUCUGGUGGAAUGCCCUGGAAGGUCAUAUGCCUCCAUUUUGCCUCUUAAUGUGCAUGCUCGAGCCCACUCGCCCAGUUCCUUAGAUCUUACGGAAGCUGCUGAUUACCAAUUUCAGGUGUUUAUCUGUUGGGAAACUGCCUCUCCCUGGUACUGGCUGUGACCAAUUAUUUUAGAUAGGUAGUGUGACAACUGCCUGACCAUUGGUCACCUGACAUUCCUGGUGGGUGCAGGGAGCCCUCUCCUGCCCUGCUCUUGCCUGUCUAACUACCUACUGUAACAGUACUAAGGAGAUUGCCCCCUUGGGAACUCCGUGUAGCUCCUGGCUUUUGUGAUUGCAAUAGCAUCAGUAAAAGCCUGACACUGUGGAAAGACACAAACAUGCAAGGACCUGCUUAUCUCUAACCUUGCACCACUCACUGAGGCAGGAGAAUAGGGACUAGAGGCAGGGAACCUAAGGACUUCCUAGAACUAAAUCAAAUGAAAAUGAAAACACUUCAGCUAUGACAAAAAAUAUCCUCCUCAUUUACAUAGGGCGUACACCAAGUAACCAGUGGGAACCUCUAGAGGGGAUGUAAACCCCAGAAAAUUCUUUUUUCUUCCUUUCUUUCUUUUUUUUUUUUUUUUUUUGAGACAGAGUCUCACUCUGACACCCAGGCUGGAGUGCAAUGGUGCGAUCUCAGUUCACUGCACCCUCCGCCUCCUGGGUUCAAGAGAUUCUCCUGCCUCAGCCUCCUGAGUAGCCGGGGUUACAGGCACCCACCACGGGCCAUGCCUGGCUAAUUUUUGUAUUUUUUAGUAGAGACAGGGUUUCUCUGUGUUGGUGAGGCUGGCCUUGAAUUCCCAACCUCAGGUGAUCUGCCCACCUUGGCCUCCCAAAGUGCUGGGAUUACAGGCAUGAGCCACCACACCCUAAACCCAGGAAAAUUCUGUAACUGAGCCCUUGAGCCCCUAUGUUUGGCCUGCUCCCACCCUGUGGAGUGUACUUUCAUUUUCAACAAAUCUCUGCUUUUGUUGCUUCAUUCUUUCCUUACUUUGUACAUUUUGUCCAAAUCUUUGUUUAAGACACCAGGGACCUGGACACCCUCCACUGGUAACAUCAUGACAUGUAUGCAAAAAUUGUCCGCAAAAUUUACAUAUAAACGAUUAGAAUUUAAGAAUUCCCAAAACCCCCUUUAGACAGGGUUUCACCACGUUGGCAAGGCUGGUCUUGAACUCCUGACCUCAGGUGAUCCGUCCACCUUGGCUUCCCAAAGUGCUGGGAUUACAGGUGUGAGCCACCAUACCUGGCAGGGAACUUCAUUAUUUAAAGGAGAAAGAGCAAGCAGGAGGGGGAAAACGGGAGGUAGGGUAGGUAGUGAGGCGAAUUGUUACAUUCUUGUGAGGCUCUGAUUAGCCUCAGUAAAUUGACAUUUUACAUGUGAAAAGGGGAAGUAGAGGAAAUGAGGCUAUGGUACAGGAUUGUGAAAUUACAGCUAUCUGGUAACAAAAGGAAUGCAGUAAUUCAGCUCUCAAGCUUAAUGUCCCUUUGGCAUAGUGAGUUUGGGGUCCCAAGAUUCUAUUUUCUUUCACACUAACACCAACAACAAUAACAACAAAAGAACAAGACAUCUGCAAGAAAAUAGUAUCUUUAUUGAGAGAUAUUAUGAAGAUAUUAUGAUUAAUGUACUGAGAGAUAUAUCACGUAUUAUUUGGAGGUAUCAGAUUACAAAGAUGCUAAUUCUACUUAAAUUGCCCUAUAAAUUAAGUGCACUGGGAAGGUGGAGUAGACAUACUUCCUAAAUUCCUCCCACUAAAUACAACUAAAAACCCUGGACAUUAUAUAUAAAACAAACAUAAGAAGACUGAAAGAAAAGCCGGGCGUGAUGGUUCAUGCCUGUAAUCCCAGCACUUUGAAAGGCUGAGGCAGGUGGAUCUCUUGAGGUCAGUAGUUAAAGACUAGCCUGGCCAAUAUGGUGAAACCCCAUCUCUACUAAAAAUACAAAAUUAGCCAUACAUGGUGGCGUGUGCCUGUAAUUCCAGCUACUCAGGAGGCUGAGGCAGAAUUGCUUGAACCCAGGAGGUGGAGGUUGCAGUGAGCCAAGAUCGCACCACUACACUCCAGCCUGGGCAAAAGAGUGAGACUCUGUCUCAAAAAGAAAAAAAAAAAAAGACUGAAAGAUGGAGAGAAGGCAGCAGACAAGCUAGGGAUCUUGGGGGUCCAAGGAACAACAUAGUGAUGAGUUUCCUGGGUUUUCUUCCUACCUUACAUCUCGAAGCCUUGGAACUGAAGAAGCUGACAAUCCAAAAAUGCCGAAGGGUGAGACAAAAAACGAAAACCUUCUCUCACUAGCCAAAGAACCAGGAAAGGGAAAAUCUAGCAAGACAGCAAACUUUAUAUAACAACUCCUGUACUCCAGCCAAGUGCUACAGAAAGAACUGUGACCCUACCCCUACCUGUAUCACCAAGACUGAGUGGGGAGCCUAGACUUCCACCCUUGCUAGGCUGUAACAAGGUGCUCCAAAGGAUAGUCUUUUCUACAAAUGGUGCUGGGACAACUGGAUAUUCACAUGCAAAGGAAUGUAGUUGGACUCUGCUGUGUGAAUAGUGUCACCCUAUCCAACAUUCAGUGUCCACUUACAACCUCAGAAUGUGGCCCUCUUUAGAAAUAGAAUCUUUGCAAAUGUAGUUAGUUAAGAUGGGGAAUUACUGGAUUAGAGUGGGCCCUAAAUCUAAUGACUGUCCUUAUAAGAAGGCCAUGUGAAGACACAGAAACAUAGUGAGAAUGCCCGGUAGCAACACAGGCAGAAAUUGUAGUGGUGUCUACAAGGUAAGUAAGGAAUGCCAAGGAUUGUCAGCACCAGCAGAAGCUAGAAGAGAGGCAUGGGACAGAUUCUCCCUCAGAGCCUCUGGUAGGAACCAAACUUGCCAACGCCUUGAUUUCAAACUUCUAGCCUACAGAACUAUGAGGCAAUACAUUUCUUUUGUUUUAAGCCACUCAGUUUGUGGUUUAAAAGCAGCUCUGAGAAAUUAAUACAGACUCCUACCUCACACCAUACACAAAAAUUAAAAUGGAUCAAAGACCUAAAUAUAAGAGCUAAAACUAUAAAACUCAGAAGAAGAAAACAGAGAUAAAUCUUUAUUACUUUUGAUUAGGUAAUGCUUUCUUAGAUAUGACACCAAAAGCACAAGCAACAAAAGAAAAAAAAUGGUAAGUCAGACUUUUUUUUUUGAGACGGCGUUUAGCUCUUGUUGCCCAGGCUGGAGUGCAGUGUUGCGAUCUUGGCUCACUGCAACCUUCACCUCCUGCGUUCAAGCAGUUCUCCUGCCUCAGCCUCCCCAGUAGCUGAGAUUACAGGUGUGCCACCGUGCCCAGCUAAUUUUUUUUUUUUUUUCUUGAAACGCAGUCUCGCUUUUUCGCCCAGGCUGGAGUGCAAUGAUGUGAUCGCGGCUCACUGCAACCUCUGCCUCCCGGGUUCAAGUAAUUCUCCUGCCUCAGCCUCCUGAGUAGCUGGGAUUACAGGUGGCCACCACCAUGCCACAAGGCCCAGCCUAACUUUUUAUUUAUUUUACUGUUCUUUUUCUUACCUCUUAAAUGAGUAUUAGUUCUUUUUUAUGUAUAUUUUUUCCUAUUCAUUGUCAAUAUUCAAUAUAAACUUAAUUCUUUAAUGUCUAGCCUUUCCAUAUUCCUUUUUUUUUUUUUUUUUUUGAGUUGGAGUUUCGCUCUGUUGCCCAGGCUGGAGCGCAGUGGCGUGAUCUCAGUUCACUGCAAGCUCCGCCUCCCGGGUUCACGCCAUUCUCCUGCCUCAGCCUCCCAAGUAGCUGGGACUACAGGUGCCCGCCACCACGCCUUGCUAAUUUUGUUUUUGUAUUUUCAGUACAGAUGGAGUUUCACCUUGUUAGCCAAGAUGGUCUCGAUCUCCUGACCUUAUGAUCCCCCUGCCACAGCCUCCCAAAGUGCUGGGAUUACAGGCGUGAGCCACCACGCCCAGCCAGCCUUUCCGUAUUCUACUUUUUUAUUUGUUUGUUUUUUAGAGACACUGUCUCAAUCUGUGGCCCAGGCUGGAUUGCAAUGGGGCAAACAAAGCUCACUACAGCCUCAAAUUCCUGGGUUCAAGUGAUCCUCUCACCUGAGCCUCCUCAGUACCUGGGACUACAAGUGUGUGCCACCACACCAAGCGAAUUAGUUUUUGUAGAGUUAGAGUCUCCCUAUGUUGCCCAGGCUGGUCUCUAACUCCUGCACUCAACUGAUCAUCCUCCCUCUGCCUCCCUAAGUGCUGGGAUUAUAGAUGUGAGCCACCUUGCCCAGUCUGUGAGGUUUAGUUGGAGCCUCAACUUUUUGAUGAGGCAGGCCUCUUAUUAUAUUUAUAACUUGGGGUGGGCCCUGGACUUUACCUAGCACCUAGGCUGGGCGUGGUGGCUCACAUCUGUCAUCCCAGCACCUUAGGAGGCCGAGGCAGGAGGAUCGCUUAAACCCAAGAGUUCGAGACCAGCCUGGGCAUCAAAACGAGAACCUGUCUUUACAAAAAAAAAUUUUUAAAUUAGCCAGUCAUGAUGGUGCUCAGCUACUUGGGAGGUUGAGGCAGAAGGGUCACUUUAACACAGGAGGUCAAGUCUGUAGUAAGCUGUGAUCGUGCCACUGCACUCCAGCCUGGGUGAAAGAGUGAGACCCUGUCUCAAAAUAAAUAAACAAACAAACAAAUAAAAUACUCCAGCACCUAUAAGGUUGUAGAGAAAAUGGCAUUAGUGUUCCACUCCCUUCUGGUUUAAAGGUUCCUUACUAUCUUGUCACCUUUUUAAUGCUUUUAAGAAAAUUAUUUUAUCUAGCAAUUUUAAUUUUUAUUGGAAGGCAUAUCAAGAUAUCUGGCCCACCAUAUUAUUCAAAACCCAGAAUUCUGUCAUUUUUUAAAAACAGAUGAUGGUAAGCAUCAAGUUACUGUGUGUUUAGAUUACAUUAGAUGUAACAGAAUGGUGUAAGUUUUACUGUAAAACAUCAAUAUUUACAACAUGCUUCUUUUGGGGGACGGGGGAGAUAGGGUCUUGCUCUGUUGCCCAGGCUUAAGUGCAGUAAUUCAAUCAUGGCUCACUUCAGUCUUGACCUUCUGGGCUUAAGCAAUCCUCCUACCUCAGUCUCCUGAGUAACUGGGACUACAGAUGCAUGCCACCAUGCCCAGCUAAUUUUAAAUUUUUUUGUAGAUACGGGGUCUUGCUGUGUUGCCCAGGCUGGUCUCAAACUCCUGGGCUCAAGUAAUCCUACCACCUUGACCUCACAAAGUGCUGGGAUUACAGGUGGGAGCCACCAUGCCUGGCCACAAUAUGCUUAAAAUUACAUUAUUUUACACUACGUAUGUAUAUAUCUCCACACAUAUACAUAUAUGUGUGUGUAUAUAUAUAUAUACACACAUAUAUAUCCUGGGCUCAAGAGGUCCUCCCACCUCAGCCUCCUGAGUAGCUGGGAAGACAGGCAAAGCUACUUGUUUUCUUACAUUUUGUAGAGAUGUAGUCUCAGCUGGUCUUCAACUCCUGGCCUCAAGUGAUCCUCCUGCCUCAGCUUUUACCGUAUUUAAACUUAACUUGAAGAAUUUUAGAUAUCAACUUAAAAAUGACUGGAGUUACAUAGUUUAAUUUCUUUUUUUUAGGUGAUAAGCAAAAAUGUAAAGAACACUGAUACAGAGAAAUGGUCACAUAGCCCGGACAUGGUGGCUCAUGCCUGUAAUCCCAGCACUUUGGGAGGCCAAGGCAAGUGAAUCACUUGUGGUCAGGAGUUUGAGACCAGCUUGGCCAACAUGGUGAAAACCUGUUUCUACUAAAAGUACAAAAAUUAGCCAGGCAUGGUGGCAGGCACCUACAGGUGCCAGCUACUCAGGAGGCUGAGGCAGGAGAAUUGCUUUAACCCGGGAGGCAGAGGCUGCAGUGAGCCGAGGUUGAGCCACUGUACUCCAGCUUGGGCCACAGAGUGAGACUCCAUCUAAAAAAAAAAAAAAAAAAAGAGAUAUGGUCACAUAAUCCAAUUUCAUAAGAAAAUAUGUACACUCAGCUGGGCGCAGUGGCUCACACCUGUAAUCCCAGCACUAUGGGAGGCCGAGGUGGGUGGAUCACGAGGUCAGGAGAUCGAGACCAUCCUGGCUAACACAGCGAAACCCCGUCUCUAUUAAAAAUACAAAAAAAAUAGCCAGGCGUGUUGGCGGACGCCUGUAGUCCCAACUACUCGGGAGGCUGAGGCAGGAGAAUGGCAUGAACCCGGAAGGCAGAGCUUGCAGUGAGCCGAGAUGGCGCCACUGCACUCCAGCCUGGGCGACAGAGCAAAACUCAAUCUCAAAAAAAAAAAAAAGAAAAGAUGUACAAUCAUCUAGUCUCAUGACUUUAAAUAUCUAUAUACUGGUAGCUCCCAAAUUUGUAUCUUCUACCCAGGCCUAUUUUCUGAAACACAUAUCCACAUGCCUACUCUACAUCUCUGAUUGGAUGCCUAAUAGGCAUCCUAAAUUUAUCAUGUCCAAAACAGAACUCUUGAAUUCUACUCCACUCCAGUCCACACACUCACAUACAGACCACUCCUUUCUUCUCCCAGGAUUCUCCAUCUGAGUAAAUGUUACCUUUAUUCACCCAGUUGCUUAGCCCAAAGACCUCUGAGUUAUCCUUGACUUCUCUCUCUCACUCUCCUGCUCUAAUAUUUAUCAUCUAACGCAUCAGCAAAUCUUGUCAGCUCUACUUAACAAAACAUAACCUGAAUGUCUGCCAUCUUUCUCUCAGACACUAAAAUAAUCUACUUCUUACUGCUUUCCUUGUUCUAUUCUUGCUGUCUCUUUUUAAAAGUGAUCCUUUUUUUUUUUUUUUGAGACCGGAGUUUCACUCUUGAUGCCCAGGUUGGAGUACAAUGGCGUGAUCUCCAGCUCACUGCAACCUCUGCCUCCCGGGUUCAAGCGAUUCUCCUGCCUCAGCCUCCUGAGUAACUGGGAUUACAGGCGCAUGCCACCACGCCUGGCUUAUUUUUGUAUAUAUUUUUAGUUUUAUUUUUUUUUUUUUGAGAUGAAGUCUCACUCUGUUGCCCAAGCUGGAGUGCAGUGGCACAGUCUCGGCUCACUGCAACCUAUACCUCCCGGGUUCAAGUGAUUCUUCUGCCUCAGCCUCCCGAGUAGCUGGGACUACAGGUGCGCACCACCAUGCCCAGCUAAUUUUUGUAUUUUUAGUAGAGACAGGGUUUCACUAUGUUGACCAGGCUUGUCUUGAACUCCUGACCUUGUGAUCUGCCCACCUCGGCCUCCCAAAGUGCUGGGAAUACAGGUGUGAGCCACUGCACCCAGCCUAUUUUUGUAUUUUUAAUAGAGAUGAGGUUUCACCAUAUUGUCCAGACUGGUCUCGAGCUCCUGACCUCAGGUGAUCUGCCCGCCUUGGCCUCCCAAAGUGCUGGGAUUACAGGCGUGAGCCACCACGCCCAGCCUAGAAGUAAAUCUUAAUGACGCUAAGUUAGGCAAAGGCUUCUUAGGUAUGACACCAAAAGCAUAAGUAACAAAAGAAAAAAUAGAUACAUUUGACCUCAUCACAAUUAAAAACUUCUUUGCUUCAAAAGACACACUAUCAAGAAAGUAAAAAGACAACCCACAAAAUGAAGAAAAUAUUUGCAAAUCAUAUAUCUGUAGUGUUAUAUAUUGGUUUUCAUCUAUGGUUCUUGGCUCAUAACUUCCAUAUCCCUCUUUACAGUCUUUUGUUAGAAUGUUGGGUGUGUUGAGCCUCAGGGCAGGCAUCUGAUGUUCUCCUGCCCUCUGUUCAUGCUAAUCUUCCCCGACCUUUUUUUCUUUCUUUCUUUUUUAUUUUAAGAUAGGUUCUCACUCUGUCAUCCAGGCUGGAGUGCAGUGUUGUGAUCUCGGCUCACUGCAACCUCUGGCUCCUGGAUUCAAGCAAUUCUCCUGCCUUAGCCUCCCGAGUAGCUGGGAUUACAGGCACGCGCCACCACGCCUGGCUAAUUUUGUAUGUGUUUUUUUAAUUAGAGAUGGGGGUUUCACUGUGUUGGCCAGGCUGGUCUCGAACUCCUGGCCUCAGGUGAUCUGCCCACCUCAGUCUCCCAAAGUGUUGGGAUUACAGGCGUGAGCCACCAGGUCCAGCCUAAUCUUUCCCGACCUUUCUGAUUGUAGGUCUUAAUACCCUCCCAUGAGAGUGUCCCACCCUAUAACCUGGGAGAAGGAAUGCUGAUGUCUUUAAGCUUCUGUAAAAACCCAAGAUGACAGGGCUCAGUGAGCUUCCAGACAGCUGAACACAUGGAGGUUACUGGAGGGUGGUGCGCCCAGGGAGGGGAUGGAAGCUCCACACCCCUUCCCCCAUACCUCACCCUACCUAUUCUUUUUAUCGGUAUCCUUUGCAAUAUCUUUUAUAAUAAACUGGUGAAUGUGUCUCCCUGAGUGUUGUGAGCUGCUCCAGCAAACUAAUCGAACCCAAAGAAGGGGUCAUGGGAGCGUCAACUUGAAACCAGUCGGUCAGAAGUCCCGGGGGCUGAACUUGUGACUGGUGUGUGUGGGGUUAGAGUCGGGGGCUGGGGCAGUCUUGGGGACUGAACCCUCAACCUGUGGGAUCUGACACUAUCUCUGAGUGAUAAUAUAGGAACUGAAUUAGAGGACACCCAGCUGGUAUCUGCUACUUGGUGUGUGGAGAAAUCCUCCACACAUUUGGUCACAGAAGUUGUCUUCUGUUUGAUGAUUGUU
rnacentral:lncRNA from 1 species